AAUUCAUGGUUCGGGCAUUUCCUCAACAAAGAUUUAAAUCUCUCCCAAGAUUCACAUAAGCUUUCACCUGCAAGCUGAGAGAAAGCAGAAAUUGCAGUUUUACAUUC